rnacentral:rRNA from 1 species
UGCAAGUCGAACGGCAGCACGGGGGCAACCCUGGUGGCGAGUGGCGAACGGGUGAGUAACACAUCGGAACGUACCCAGUAGUGGGGGAUAACGCAGCGAAAGUUGCGCUAAUACCGCAUACGCUGGAGACAGGAAAGCGGGGGACCCUGUGAGGGCCUCAUGCUUUGGGAGCGGCCGAUGUCCGAUUAGCUAGUUGGUGGGGUAAAGGCUUACCAAGGCGACGAUCGGUAGCUGGUCUGAGAGGAUGAUCAGCCACACUGGGACUGAGACACGGCCCAGACUCCUACGGGAGGCAGCAGUGGGGAAUUUUGGACAAUGGGGGCAACCCUGAUCCAGCCAUGCCGCGUGCGGGAAGAAGGCCUUCGGGUUGUAAACCGCUUUUAGCUGGGAAGAAAAGGCAUCUCCUAAUACGGGGUGUUCUUGACGGUACCGGCGGAAUAAGCACCGGCUAACUACGUGCCAGCAGCCGCGGUAAUACGUAGGGUGCGAGCGUUAAUCGGAAUUACUGGGCGUAAAGCGUGCGCAGGCGGUUCGUUAAGUUUGUCGUGAAAGCCCCGGGCUCAACCUGGGAAUGGCGAUGAAAACUGGCGAGCUGGAGUGUGGCAGAGGGGGGUGGAAUUCCAGGUGUAGCAGUGAAAUGCGUAGAGAUCUGGAGGAACACCGAUGGCGAAGGCAGCCCCCUGGGCUGACACUGACGCUCAGGCACGAAAGCGUGGGGAGCAAACA